UACGUAGGUCCCGAGCGUUGUUCGGAUUUAUUGGGCGUAAAGGGAGCGUAGACGGUUCUGCAAGUCUGAAGUGAAAGCCCGUGGCUUAACCGCGGAACGGCUUUGGAAACUGUGGAACUGGAGUGCUGGAGAGGCAAGCGGAAUUCCUAGUGUAGCGGUGAAAUGCGUAGAUAUUAGGAGGAACACCAGUGGCGAAGGCGGCUUGCUGGACAGUAACUGACGUUGAGGCUCGAAAGCGUGGGGAGCAAACAGG
rnacentral:rRNA from 1 species